rnacentral:pre_miRNA from 1 species
GUAGUAUUCCCUUCGUCCCAAAAUUCUUGUCUUACAUUUGUUUAGAUACGGAUGUAUCUAACACUAAAAUGUAACUAGAUACAUCCAUAUUUAGACAAAUUUAAGACAAGAAUUUUGGGACGGAGGGAGUACAAA